UUUAAUUGAAGAGUUUGAUCAUGGCUCAGAUUGAACGCUGGCGGCAGGCCUAACACAUGCAAGUCGAGCGGCAGCACAAGUAAGUUUACUUAUGAGGUGGCGAGCGGCGGACGGGUGAGUAAUGCCUAGGGAUCUGCCCAGUCGAGGGGGAUAACAGUUGGAAACGACUGCUAAUACCGCAUACGCCCUACGGGGGAAAG
rnacentral:rRNA from 1 species